rnacentral:lncRNA from 10 species
GUGGCUCUGCUGGACAGGAAGGGAAUGUAGAUAGCGUGGAUCUACUGGCCAGGCAAGUAGUAUAGACAGGGUGGAUCUGCUGGGCAGGCAGUUAGUGUAGACAGAGUGGAUCUGCUGGACAGGCAAGUAGUGUAGACAGUGUGGAUCUGCUGGACAGGCAGGUAGUGUAGAUAGCGUGGAUCUGCUGGCCAGGUACGGAGUAUAGACAGGGUGGAUCUGCUGGACAGGCAGGUAGUGUAGACAGGGCAGAUCUGCUCGACAAGCAGGUAGUGUAGACAGGGCGGAUCAGCUGGGCACGCAGGUAGUGUAGACAGGGUGGACCUGCUGGACAGGCAGGUAGUAUAGACAGGGUGGAUCUGCUCGACAGGCAGGUAGUAUAGACAGGUUGGAUCUGCUGGACAGGAAGGUAGUGUAGAUAGCGUGGAUCUACUGGCCAGCCAGGUAGUGUAGACAGGGUGGAUCUGCUUUGCAGGCAGGUAGUGUAGACAGGGCGGGUCUGCUGGACAGGCAGGUAGUGUAGACAGGGUGGAUCUGCUGGAGCGGCAGGUAGUAUAGACAGGGCGGAUCUGCUGGCCAGGCAGGUAGUGUAGACAGGGUGGAUCUGCUGGACAGGCAGGUAGUAUAGACAGGGUGGUUCUGCUGGACAGGCAGGUAGUAUAGACAGGGUGGUUCUGCUGGACAAGCAGGUAUUGUAGAUAGGGCAGAUCUACUGGAAAAGCAGGUAGUGUAGACAGGGUGGAUAUGCUGGCCAGGCAGGUAGUGUAGACGGGGUGGAUCUGCUGGAAAAGCAGGUAGUGUAGACAGUGUGGAUCUGCUGGAAAAGCAGGUAGUGUAGACAGUGUUGAUCUGCUGGACAGGCAGGUAGUGUAGACAGGGUGGAUCUGCUGGAAAAGCAGGUAGUGUAGAUAGGGUGGAUCUGCUGGCCACGCAGGUAGUCUAGACAGGGUGGAUCUCCUGGAAAAGCAGGUAGUAUAGACAGGGUGGAUCUGCUCGACAGAGGGAGGUGUCACACCCCAGGUGGGGCUGAGUGGGACGGCAUGAGACUUCAUCAAGCUACUCAGAAUGAAACAUGAUUUAACACGUG